UACGUAGGGUGCGAGCGUUGUCCGGAAUUAUUGGGCGUAAAGAGCUCGUAGGCGGUCUGUCGCGUCGGCUGUGAAAUCCCGAGGCUCAACCUCGGGUCUGCAGUCGAUACGGGCAAACUAGAGUAUUGCAGGGGAGACUGGAAUUCCUGGUGUAGCGGUGAAAUGCGCAGAUAUCAGGGGGAACACCGGUGGCGAAGGCGGGUCUCUGGGCCGAUACUGACGCUGAGGAGCGAAAGCGUGGGGAGCGAACAGG
rnacentral:rRNA from 1 species